rnacentral:rRNA from 1 species
AUACGUAGGUGGCAAGCGUUGUCCGGAUUUACUGGGCGUAAAGGAUGUGUAGGCGGAUAUUUAAGUGAGAUGUGAAAUCCCCGGGCUUAACUUGGGGGCUGCAUUUCAAACUGGAUGUCUAGAGUGCAGGAGAGGAAAGCAGAAUUCCUAGUGUAGCGGUGAAAUGCGUAGAGAUUAGGAAGAAUACCAGUGGCGAAGGCGGCUUUCUGGACUGUAACUGACGCUGAGGCAUAGAAAGCGGUGGGGAGAC